GGAGUCCCAUGCAGGAAGGAAUGUAGGAAAAUUGCCACAGUUAAAUGGAAGCAGAAAGGCCUUGUGUUGUAAAGCACAACCAUGUCUUAAUGCUCAUAUUUCAUUUUUUUUCAGGUCCACACACAUUUUUACUUCUCCGUUUUGUGGAAUCAAUGGUGUUUCUGAUUAAAGUCCUCCAAAGGAUUCCUACUGCGUUUAGAACAAAAUUUAAAUUUCUUGUAGUGACCUAUAAGGACCAGCAUGACCGGGUGCCUGUCUAGUUUCCAGUCUCAUCUCUGUGUGUUCCUUUCAAUAGGUGGAUUCAAAUCUUUUCUUAUUUCUAGACAUUUUUCUUGGAUUCUAAUUUUAAAUAUUUCUUCUAUUUAGCACUUUGUUUUCAUUCUUCAGGACUCUCUAUUAUCCAUAUGUUGGGUCUUCUUUGUGUAUCUUCUCUAUCUACCACUUUGAAUCAACCUUAAAUAAAUGGAUAUCACUUCAACUCACAUACGUACUCAGUGCCUAGUAUGAUAAUGUGUACCUCAGUGAAGGAUCCGAAAAACAAAAAAGAGAAAAGAAUCAAACAUGUUGUAUGUUGCUUUUUAUGGCCAAUAGUUAGUCUACAUGUGGAGGCAGCUCACAGAGAAAAGAUAGCUUGAUAAGGUGUCCAUGUAUGAUUAACUACUAAAAUAGGGAUAAAGAGAUUAGGUGAUAUAGGAUUGAAUGAUGCAGUGAAUCACGAAAACAAAAAGACUGCUUCUAAAAUCCAGGCUUACUAGGCUCUGAUGUGGAAAUCUUGUCUUUUCCAUUCGUUUAUCAAUGCUUACAUUCAUCUUAUUUCAACACUUGCUGACAUUAUAUUUAUACUUCACAUUUUUUCACUUUUGUGCUGCUCUACAAGUUUUCCUCUGGCAGAUAUUUGAUGCUUGUUAUGUGUUGCCUCAGAAUUUUGCACAACCUUCUGUCGUAACACUAACUACUUGGGUUGUCAUGGCCCAGAGCAGGGGCUCUAAAAUCUGAUGGAUCUGGGAUAGAAUCGCAGCUCUGCCCCUUACUAGCUUUGUGACUGCAACCAAGUUACCUAACCUACAGCUUUAUUUUCUUCAUCUGUCAGAGAGGGAUAAGAAUAAGAAUAGAUUAUUAUAAGUGUUAAACUUGAUAAUGCAUGUAAAGUGCUUAGUACAAUGUCUGGCACCCACUAAAUGUCAACUUACCUUUACAGGCACCUCUGUGUCUCCCCUCCUGUACUAUGGUCUCUGUGGAGACAGGAACACAGUCCCAGUAAGUUUAUUGAGUGAAUUUACAGCUCUAUGUAAAUGUUCUUUUUCUUGACCAAAGGUCAUAUGCCAUGUUGGUUCACUCUCUAGGGGGCUCUUUUACGGAGAAAAGAACCCCAAAGAACCUCUUUCAUGCUCAUCUGGUAGGGCAUUCUUAGAAGUAAAUAAUCUAGUUAUUGAUACUUGUUCUCCCUAUCUGUGGUUUAGGAAACUCUUGUUGAUGCAUUUCCCCAGAGUUCUUGUGUCCAUUAGUUUUCCUGGCCACUUGCCCUAUUGAAGACAUGCCUGCACUUUUUCUCGAAUGGCUAAUCAUUUUUCCUUUCAAAUUUACCUUUACUUAUUUUUUAAAUGUUUAUUUAUUUACUUUCAGGAGGGGAGGGGCAGAGGAGAGGGAGAGAGAGAAUCCCAAGCCUGCUCUGGGCUGUCAGUGCAGAGCCCUGUGGGGGGCUCCAUCUCACGAACCGUGUAAUCAUGACUUGAGCUGAAAUCAAGAAUGAGAUGCUUAACCAACUGAGCCACCCAGGGCUGAAGCAAGCACAUCUGAACGGGUCUGGCUGCUCUGGGCAGCUGGGGAAGGGCACCCACAGUGUUCUGAACAGAGUUGGAAGAACACCAGAGCUGAGAUGAGUCAGAGCCUCUCAAAGUGUGUGGUACCAAAGCAAUGCAGCACUGAAACUGUCUGUGCCAGCCUUCAAAGAUGCAUGUAGCCAGGGCCUCCCUUCAGGGGGCAGAUGAUGGAACCAUCAGUUUCAGUGAUGCCAGAAAUUUCCCAAGGAAUAGGAAGAGAACUGACACUUAUUCUGCACCUCCUUGAUGCCAACACCAAGUAUGCACUGGCUGUAUCUUAAUUGAAACAUACUCCCACACGAAUACUGCCUGGAAUGGUUUUCCUUGUACCAAAAAAAAUGACAGAUCAACUUUCCUCCUUUUUAAAUGAAACUGCUUUCUGGAGACAGCUCUGAAAAUCUAGUGGUGUUCUAUGGAGAACGAUCACCUGUUGGCUGAAUGGGCAACACCAGAGACUCACGAGAGAAAGCUUGCCUUGGUCCAGUGCUGCCCAUACGAGGGACAAUUCUUCCCAAGUAUGGCUCUGUAUUAGCCAUCCCACUUUGCAAAAAGACCUGAUGCUAAAUCCUCCAAACUGGCUUCUAUCAGUUAUAAUAAAGGUGACAUCGUAACCUCUCUCUGCCCCCCUUUUGUUUUACUUUCGAUUUGUUCAGAUCUCAGGUUGCGAAGAUGGCCACUUCUUAUUGAACCCCUUCCGAGACCUUGAAGAUUAUAAUAAUCUUUGGACAAACCAGCGGUCAAGGGUUGAUUAAUUAUAUUACGGUGAUUGUGCAAAUAAUCCUCACAAUUGAAACAAGUGGUAAACUAUGAUUAUGUUUUGGUUCUAGUAUAAUUUUUUUCCUGAAGUGAAUAAAUGCCCUAUUUUUGCUUUAAAUAUUUUUAGUUUUCUACGAAGUGAUCAUUAUUUUUUCCAACUGCUAGGAUUUCUCUGUCAAAGAUUUUUAAACAGUACAGUAAAAUCCUAACCAUAAAUGAAAAGUUGAUAAAUUAUAAAACAUUAAAAUUAAGAAUGUAUGUUCAUCAAAUGGCAUGAUUAGAAGAAUACAAAGGAAAAGCACAGAAUGGCAGAAGGUAUUUGUAAUACAUGUAUCCAAAAAAGGCCUUAUGUCUGGAAUCUAUAAAGAAUCCCAAUGGAUCAAUAAAAGAGAGCACAAUAAA